CUUUGGAAAAGACUCAGAAGAGCCAGUAAACUUGGCUUCUUCAGUUCUGCUUCUCAUCGGCCCCAUCAGCAGAGAGAAAUAAUGACUCCCGAAUCAUUUGUGAAUCAAAAAGUUAAAGCAGUGUCUCAGUGACGCUACAUCAUCCCAGAUGCAGGCAAAUGGUUUGAAGAUGCUGGCCUAGCAAGAUGGCAACAGGUUUAAAAAAAUAGGAUUCGUAAGAAGUUCCUUUUGUCAGGUAAUUAUAUUUUCCUAUCAUUUCCCCAAACCUUCCAUU